UAAAUAUUUUCCAGUUUGGCCUUAUGCCAGUGGUCCUGACUGGAACAGCCAUGCCAUGUGCAGAAGACAGCAUUUCAAAGCACUCCUUUCCAUGUUCCUAAACUCAAAAUCUGUCCACUCUUUCUUUCAUGAUGUUCCUCGGUUUGGAGCGGCAAUCUGAUGUCCUCUUUAGGGCUGAGAGCUCAAGUCACUUGCUUUCAGCACAUCAACCAGGUAUGAGUCUCAACAUAUACCAUCUUCCAAUAUACAAAUAUAUAUAUAUAUUUUUAAAAAAAGAACUUUCUCUGGUCCAGGUUAAAAGCAGCAAUAAUCCAUGAAUAUAAACAUAAAUAUUUAGAAGGCAAUUUGAUUACAUGUCAACAGCACAUUGCAGAGUCUACUUCUAACCCUUAGGCCCUGCACUGUAUAAGCAAUUGCUUCUGAUUAAUUUCCUAUUGCUACUAUAUGGAAUUUCCACAGACACAUGGAAUGUAGAGAGAUUAAACUCCCUACAUUUAUUAUCUUUCAUUGCCAGAUUUCAGUACUCACCCUGAGCUGCCCUUGCAACUCUGAUUCAGUAUAAGGGCUUGCCAGACUUCUCAUGAAAAGUCUUGUCCAGAGCAGGAGAGAUUUAAACAUAUGCUUUGAUAACAGCCACUUUGAAAUGAGUUCUCUCCUAUACUAUGCCCACAUUCCCUAUAAAUGCUAUAUGACCAUAACAUUUUCUAAGGCAGUAUGAAUAUGACACAGAAUAAAUCUGACUUUACAUAGAUCUUACUCUGCUUUAAGCAACUCUGUUAACUACCAUGUUGACAUAUUGAGUCAGGUGGGGAUAAGGGCUAUAAUGAAAUUUUUCAUUAAAGGAAAAGAGAAUACUGUGUGAAAGUUAUUCUCAUUAAAGUAGAAGACAGGGGUGGUGGCGCACGUCUUUAAUCCCAGCACUCAGGAGG
rnacentral:lncRNA from 1 species